UAAACACCGGCGCCAGCCCGCGGCGGCAGAGUCUGGGCGGUAAGGGCUGUGGAGGUGGCUGGGCUCUCCCGGGCAGAUCGGAGACCUAGGCAGGGACGCCCCGCGAUCCGGGGUGCGGCAGGGACCGGACGGGCGCCUCUCCGCCAUCCUGGGCUUACUGUCUGUGGGGGAGCCAGACAUUGAACACGGCCACGAGAAAUGAGGCAACAGAGUUCCACUGAGCGCUAGGAGCGGAAAAGGGAGAUUAAAAAGAAGGGAUGGGCCAAAGCGUGGGGACGGAGAGAUGAGCAGUCCUAGAGGACCUCUCUAUGGCGACCACUUGAGAGACCUGGAUGGUAAGAAGGAGAUGGCCUGGGAAGAUCCGCAAGAAGCGUGUUCCAGAAGCAACCUCCUGCCUCAGGAGGUUGACUGGACUAAGAGGAAAGCACGGAGGAUAACCUCGCUUCCCUUUCCCACUAAAGAGAGAAAGCCAGUCUCUCCUGAAACGUGUGUGUGUGUAGAAGAGAAGUGAUGUCGGCAUAGAAAUGGGUGACGAUGGGAUCUACGCAUUGAGGUGCCUUUUUUUUUUUCCAAUGGUCAAUUUAAUCAUGAAACCGACGAUGUUUCCACAGCUAAGUUCCCAUCAAUAAGGUGGAAGGAAACAUAAAGGUUUUCCAGAAUUAGAGGACCAAGAUCUAUACCACCCACCGAGGAGUCAGGCGUCCUAAAGAGAUGACACAUCAUCCUUUCCUUCCAACAAAAGACUUUCCAAGUAGCUCUCUGCCAUCGAAACGGUGCGUUAAUCAUCUGGUAGAAAUUGAUUUCUCCAAUGCCAGGGCACUCUCGGCAGCUAGCAGGCUGCUGCAGUAGCCGUUUGUUUUCGUGGUGACAAGGAUGGUGGCGCCUUCCUCCAUGGCUGGAAGUGGAAAGAAAUGGUCGGAAUUGACCUUUGGUUCGCUCUGGACACAGUCUUCACACGUACAUUCCUCUACCGUGUAUUCCGGGCCUCUCGAAAGCAGCGUUUCCACACCCAUCCGGCCCUCGCUGCCAUCGCCCAGGUCAGCGCCAGCACCCUUCUGGGGAGCCGAUCCUGAGGACGCAGAAACAGCACCGUUAACCCGAACUCUUCAGGGCGCCUGGUCGUGCCAGACUUCGCAGCGCACAUGGGGGAUCCGAGCAGCACCAGGCAGAUCUCUCAUGACUCAGUGAAUGAGAGGGCCCCAGAGUCGUGCGUGAACGGACAGCCCAUGGGCCACACUGGCUUCAAAGACAUGCGUGGUUUAGGGCAAUGCAGGGUUUUUUAAGUGUUUGCUCAUCUGUUUUAUGGUGACCCUCACUUAAAAAAUCAAGAGAUUAUACAUACAAAUCUACAAAUCUAAACAACUAGCCCCCCCACACACUUUUUUUUUGGUCUUUUUACAGCCGCACCCAUAGCAUAUGGAAACUCCCAGGCUGGGGAGUCAAAUCAGAGCUGCAUCUGGCAGCCUACACCACAGCCACAGAGACUCUAGAUCUGAGCCGUGUCUGGACCUAUGCUGCAGCUCGCGGCAGCGCUGGAUCCUUAACCCAUUGAGGGAGACCAGAAAUCAAACCCACAUCCUCAUGGAUGCUAGUCGGAUUCUUAACCCUUUGAGCCACAAUGGGAACUCCACGGCCACUUGGAGUGGACAUUCCUACAUGGGAACAAAUGGGAGUCAACGGCACCUGUCUACUCCAAGCAGAGCCCAGGCUCCCCUGCUGCAGAAGCCUCCAGAAGCCCCACUAUGUUAGUUUUUCACCCCCUUGGCCCUUGGACAUAUGAAGGUACUGACCCCUUUAACACAUACGAAAUGACAAAUUACCAUAUGCAGGCACACCAAAGCCAGUCUCAGGUGAUGCACUAGUGUGCAAAAUAGGGAAUUCCCGUUGUGGCUCAGUGGUAACAAACCAUGAGGACGUGGGUUUGAUCCCUGGCCUCGCUCAGUGGCUUAAGCAUCCAGCGCUGCCUCGAGCUGUAGGCUGCAGCUAUAGCUCCAAUUCUGUCCCUAACCUGGGGACAGAAUAUGCCUCAGGUGUGGCCCUAAAAAGACCAAAAAAAACCCCAAAAAGAAUUCAAAAUAAAGAUGCCUUUCUUACAGAGCA